rnacentral:rRNA from 1 species
CACACUAUCAUUAACUGAAUCCAUAGGUUAAUGAGGCGAACCGGGGGAACUGAAACAUCUAAGUACCCCGAGGAAAAGAAAUCAACCGAGAUUCCCCCAGUAGCGGCGAGCGAACGGGGAGCAGCCCAGAGCCUGAAUCAGUGUGUGUGUUAGUGGAAGCGUCUGGAAAGGCGCGCGAUACAGGGUGACAGCCCCGUACACAAAAAUGCACAUGCUGUGAGCUCGAUGAGUAGGGCGGGACACGUGGUAUCCUGUCUGAAUAUGGGGGGACCAUCCUCCAAGGCUAAAUACUCCUGACUGACCGAUAGUGAACCAGUACCGUGAGGGAAAGGCGAAAAGAACCCCGGCGAGGGGAGUGAAAAAGAACCUGAAACCGUGUACGUACAAGCAGUGGGAGCACGCUUAGGCGUGUGACUGCGUACCUUUUGUAUAAUGGGUCAGCGACUUAUAUUCUGUAGCAAGGUUAACCGAAUAGGGGAGCCGAAGGGAAACCGAGUCUUAACUGGGCGUUAAGUUGCAGGGUAUAGACCCGAAACCCGGUGAUCUAGCCAUGGGCAGGUUGAAGGUUGGGUAACACUAACUGGAGGACCGAACCGACUAAUGUUGAAAAAUUAGCGGAUGACUUGUGGCUGGGGGUGAAAGGCCAAUCAAACCGGGAGAUAGCUGGUUCUCCCCGAAAGCUAUUUAGGUAGCGCCUCGUGAAUUCAUCUCCGGGGGUAGAGCACUGUUUCGGCAAGGGGGUCAUCCCGACUUACCAACCCGAUGCAAACUGCGAAUACCGGAGAAUGUUAUCACGGGAGACACACGGCGGGUGCUAACGUCCGUCGUGAAGAGGGAAACAACCCAGACCGCCAGCUAAGGUCCCAAAGUCAUGGUUAAGUGGGAAACGAUGUGGGAAGGCCCAGACAGCCAGGAUGUUGGCUUAGAAGCAGCCAUCAUUUAAAGAAAGCGUAAUAGCUCACUGGUCGAGUCGGCCUGCGCGGAAGAUGUAACGGGGCUAAACCAUGCACCGAAGCUGCGGCAGCGACGCUGAUGCGUUGUUGGGUAGGGGAGCGUUCUGUAAGCCUGUGAAGGUGUACUGUGAGGUAUGCUGGAGGUAUCAGAAGUGCGAAUGCUGACAUAAGUAACGAUAAAGCGGGUGAAAAGCCCGCUCGCCGGAAGACCAAGGGUUCCUGUCCAACGUUAAUCGGGGCAGGGUGAGUCGACCCCUAAGGCGAGGCCGAAAGGCGUAGUCGAUGGGAAACAGGUUAAUAUUCCUGUACUUGGUGUUACUGCGAAGGGGGGACGGAGAAGGCUAUGUUGGCCGGGCGACGGUUGUCCCGGUUUAAGCGUGUAGGCUGGUUUUCCAGGCAAAUCCGGAAAAUCAAGGCUGAGGCGUGAUGACGAGGCACUACGGUGCUGAAGCAACAAAUGCCCUGCUUCCAGGAAAAGCCUCUAAGCAUCAGGUAACAUCAAAUCGUACCCCAAACCGACACAGGUGGUCAGGUAGAGAAUACCAAGGCGCUUGAGAGAACUCGGGUGAAGGAACUAGGCAAAAUGGUGCCGUAACUUCGGGAGAAGGCACGCUGAUAUGUAGGUGAAGUCCCUCGCGGAUGGAGCUGAAAUCAGUCGAAGAUACCAGCUGGCUGCAACUGUUUAUUAAAAACACAGCACUGUGCAAACACGAAAGUGGACGUAUACGGUGUGACGCCUGCCCGGUGCCGGAAGGUUAAUUGAUGGGGUUAGCGCAAGCGAAGCUCUUGAUCGAAGCCCCGGUAAACGGCGGCCGUAACUAUAACGGUCCUAAGGUAGCGAAAUUCCUUGUCGGGUAAGUUCCGACCUGCACGAAUGGCGUAAUGAUGGCCAGGCUGUCUCCACCCGAGACUCAGUGAAAUUGAACUCGCUGUGAAGAUGCAGUGUACCCGCGGCAAGACGGAAAGACCCCGUGAACCUUUACUAUAGCUUGACACUGAACAUUGAGCCUUGAUGUGUAGGAUAGGUGGGAGGCUUUGAAGUGUGGACGCCAGUCUGCAUGGAGCCGACCUUGAAAUACCACCCUUUAAUGUUUGAUGUUCUAACGUGGACCCGUAAUCCGGGUUGCGGACAGUGUCUGGUGGGUAGUUUGACUGGGGCGGUCUCCUCCUAAAGAGUAACGGAGGAGCACGAAGGUUGGCUAAUCCUGGUCGGACAUCAGGAGGUUAGUGCAAUGGCAUAAGCCAGCUUGACUGCGAGCGUGACGGCGCGAGCAGGUGCGAAAGCAGGUCAUAGUGAUCCGGUGGUUCUGAAUGGAAGGGCCAUCGCUCAACGGAUAAAAGGUACUCCGGGGAUAACAGGCUGAUACCGCCCAAGAGUUCAUAUCGACGGCGGUGUUUGGCACCUCGAUGUCGGCUCAUCACAUCCUGGGGCUGAAGUAGGUCCCAAGGGUAUGGCUGUUCGCCAUUUAAAGUGGUACGCGAGCUGGGUUUAGAACGUCGUGAGACAGUUCGGUCCCUAUCUGCCGUGGGCGCUGGAGAACUGAGGGGGGCUGCUCCUAGUACGAGAGGACCGGAGUGGACGCAUCACUGGUGUUCGGGUUGUCAUGCCAAUGGCACUGCCCGGUAGCUAAAUGCGGAAGAGAUAAGUGCUGAAAGCAUCUAAGCACGAAACUUGCCCCGAGAUGAGUUCUCCCUGACUCCUUGAGAGUCCUGAAGGAACGUUGAAGACGACGACGUUGAUAGGCCGGGUGUGUAAGCGCAGCGAUGCGUUGAGCUAACCGGUACUAAUGAACCGUGAGGCUUAACCUUACAACGCCGAAG